rnacentral:rRNA from 1 species
CAUGCAAGUCCAGGGGGUUANAGGAAAGCUUGCUUCCUUGAGACCGGUGCACGGGUGCGUAACGCGUAUGGCAACCUACCUUUUACAGAGGGAUAGCCCAGAGAAAUUUGGGAUUAAUACCUCAUGGUAUAUAUCAUUCGCAUGUUUGAUAUAUUAAAGUUCCAACGGUAAAAGAUGGGCAUGCGUCCUAUUAGCUGGAUGGUAAGGUAACGGCUUACCAUGGCAACGAUAGGUAGGGGUCCUGAGAGGGAGAUCCCCCACACUGGUACUGAGACACGGACCAGACUCCUACGGGAGGCAGCAGUGAGGAAUAUUGGACAAUGGGCGCAAGCCUGAUCCAGCCAUGCCGCGUGCAGGAAGAAGCAUCUAUGGUGUGUAAACUGCUUUUGUACGGGAAGAAACACUCCUUCGUGAAGGAGCUUGACGGUACCGUAAGAGUAAGGAUCGGCUAACUCCGUG